CUACACAGUCUUAAGUCAGCAGUUACUUACUGCUUAGCUGCUUCCCAACUGGGCAAGUCCUGUAGCCCUCAGAGGUGGGCAGGCAGUCAUUGUCACAUCAGAUCCCCAGUGAUGCAUGCUUGCAGGCUCACCCCAACACUGCUGGCGGUGACCCGUCUGUGCCCUUUCAGUCCUGACUCAUAGGAUGGAGAGGGGCAAGAAGGGGCUCCCCAUAAGAGACUUUAAGGAAAGGAGGGAGCACCUGAAAGGUGUCCACAAGCCUAUUCUUUCCUGGUUGUGUGACAAGAACCUCGUUUACAGCUAAACUGAGGAGAAAGUCCUACAACAUUUCCACCUAAGGACACUUACCUGCAUCUCACAUGUUUUGAUAUGUCACCUUUGAAUUACCAUUCAGUUAAAAUGUUUUCUGAUACCAUUGGAAUUACUUCUUUGAUCCAUUGGCUAUUUACAAGUAUAUUUCUUAAUUUCUAAAUAUAUGGGGAUUUUCCAAUUACCUUUUUGUUACUGAUUUCCAGCUCAAUUUCAUUAUGAUUUGCACAGAGAAUAUGGUUUGUAUACUCUAAUUUCAAUCAUUUCAAUUUGCUAACACUUGCCUUAUGCCCCUGCAUACAUUCAAUUGUGGUAAAUGUUCCAUGUCCACUUGAAAAUAAUUGGUAUUCUUCAGUUGCUUGUUACAGUGUUCCCUCUCUAUGUAUGUCUGAAUUAGGUUGAGUCUUUACCUACGUCGUUCAAACCUUCUAUAGUCCAUUUCACUAUUCUUUCUUCAGCCGUGUCUAAUCUACUGUUUUGAUUCAGUCUUUGAUUUUCUUUAUUAAAUAUUAUUACAAUCUAGGAUAUUCACCUGGUUCUCAGUUUUUCUGGUACCAAAUUUAUCCAUCUUGAUUUUUAAUUCCAUGCAUUAAUUGUAGUUACGUUAAAGUCUAUGUCUUAUUAUUUCUCAAGAUCUAGAUCUUCUGUGAAUAUGUUUCUAUUGUCUGUUUUCCCUCUGGAUUUUCUGUCAAAACUUAUUUUCUUAUAUGGCUUGUUCUUUUGAUAGAGUGCCAAUAUUCUGAGGCUCUUCAGCAUGUUAUCUUCUUCCAGAUGUAUUUAUUUUUUAUUCUGGUAGGCAGAGAGGCUAGAAAUGAAUUACUUUAAUCCAGUCUGGAAUUGAGAUAAUUCUAAACUGGGCUUCCCUUCUUGUGAGAUAGGCUUCUUCAGUUGAUCCUUUCUUCAAACAAAAGCUCGUGGUAUUUUUCAGAACCUCUCCUGUCUGAUAGAUCCUUAGGUCAAUUUUAAUCCUUAGACCUCUUUUACCUUGCUAAAAUUUCUGUUCAAAUUUCUCAGCCUUUCAUUCACUGCUUUCAAUUUGAAAUCAAAUGACUUGAGGGAAAAGAAUCUUCAAAUGCCAUAUUCACCUCCACUGUCUUUAUUGCUUGUUCAGGUCUCGGUCUCAAAGUUUUUCUCCCUGACUAGGUGUCUGUGAGAUGUCCAGUUCCUCAAGUUGUUCCCAAUAUGAUAUUUUGCCCCAAACAACCUAGUCAGCCUUUACCUAGUGCAACACUCAUAUGGGGGGUUAUAACCAAAAGAGUCAUAUAAUAGAACUUUAGAAUGUUGACCUGACCAAAAGGCCCAAACUAGCAGUAAAUAAAUCAAUAAUAAUAAUUAAAGUAGCUAGCAUUUGUUGACCAUUUCCUAUGCACUCAGCCACAGUCCUAAGUACUUUCGUAUAUAUAGCCCAUUUAAUCUUAAAAAUAAAUGAACAAAUUAGGUAUUAAUACCAUUUUCAUUUUACAUAUGAGGAAGGAAGUGCAUAGAAAAUUUCAGAAACUUGCCUAAAGCUACACAGAAGUAGAGCUUAGAUUUGAACCAAGACAGUUUUGCUCAGAGAUCAUAGUGCUUUAAAAUAGAAUGUUACUAUAAUAAUAUAGACAUCAAUAGCCCAAGUUACAAUGAGCAUUAUAGCUGGGGAGUCAGAGAAGAACAGCGAGCUACAAGAAAUAUUUUGAAGAAAGACUCAAAAGGUGAUCAAAUUGUUGCAUGGCAUGAAGAUGAAGGAAAGGUCUCAAUUACCUGGCCUCAAGAUCUGGAAAGUGAUCAUGUGCUGAUAGAAAUGUGAAACUGAGCUGGAGUUGGUUUAGAUGGGCUGGGGCAGUAUUCUUACAUGAAACUUUGGGAUUCUCAGUGAUUCAUAAUUCAUAAAAUGUUUGCUAUUUCAGGUAAGCCUUAUAGCCUCUGGAGGAAACAGCAAUAAGAUUAUUAUUGUUGAAUGUGAAUGGAGUACAGAAAGUAAAUCAAUUAACAUCAGCAAGCUCAUGGGAUCAAAAAGGAUAUACUUUCUCCCCCUGCCUCACACUGUGUACCAAAUCAAAAAUUUCUAUUCACUCAAGAUAGACAGUUUAACUUAAAUAUUUUUAAAUCAGUGCCUCAUGAGUGACAGACAUUUAACUUAAAUUUUUUUCAAUGCUAUUAUUUUAAAAUAUAGUUUAUGAUUCUCUCCAAUUUUCAAGGCAAUGCAUGUUCAUUGUAAAACAAAAAUUAGAAAAUAGAGCAAAGAUGAAGAAGAAAAUGAAAAUCAUCCAUAUUUCAAUACUCAAAGGUAACCAGUAUAAACAUUUUGGGGUAUAUUCUUCUAAUACAUUUCCUGUACUUAUGACCACAUAUAAUCUAUGCAGUUGGUUUUAUUCUGUGUAUGCUGUUUUGUGGCUUGCUUUUUCAUAUAAUAUCAUUCAAGCAUCCCAAUUUCUUUAAACAUUUUUGAGAACACAAUUUUUCAUUGCUGCCACAGUCUAUACUUGCCUAUGUUGGAAAAUUAUUCCAUUAGGGAUAUAUUAUGGUUGACCCUUGAACAACAUAGGUGUGGAAUUCAUGAAUAACACAAACAGUAUAGCAUUGGAUUAAAUUUUAAAUAUUAAAAAGUACUCAUAAUUUAAAAAAUAGAUAUGGUACAGCUCUGUUUAUCGAAAUGGACCAGCAGCAACAAUAUCACAGAAGCCAUGCAUACCUGCUGUGCACAGAUCAUAGGCUCUAAUACUAUACCCCACUAAGAGGAGACAGGGCUCCACUGAUAAGUGACUAUUUUUCUAGGGACAGGGGAUGGAAAGUAUAAACUCAACUUUGGACAUAUUUUUUAGACAGCAAGGAAACUUUUAUGUCACAUCAAAAGGACACAGGGGACCAGGCAUGGUGGCUCAUGCCUGUAAUCCCAAGGCUUUGGGAGGCCAAGGCAGGUGGAUCACUUGAGGCUAAGAGUUCCAGACCAGCCUGGCCAACACAGCAAAACCUAUCUUUACAAAAAUACAAAAAUUAGCAUGUAGUCCCAGCUCCUCCAGAACUGAGGCAUGAGAAUCACUAAACCCAGGAGGCGGAGGUUGUAGUGAGCCAAGAUCGUGCCAGUGCACUCCAGGCUAGGCAACAGAGAAAAACUCUAACUCAAAAAGAAAAAAAGAAUAAUGUUCAUAAUUGCUUGAAAUCCAUGGAAUCUCUAAGAAUUCAUGAUACUAAAAAAAGAGAGAGAAAGAACUCAUUUGUCACCAUCUAAGGUGACAGUUAAGGCUAUUAAGUCCAUUUCUUUGAAAAUAAGAAAAUGAAUGAAUAAUGUAUUUUGUCUUUCCUUUGCAAACAUCAUGACACCAAAGCUCCAGUUGAUACGGGCAAGCUAUGGAGAAGAAUGCUGAUGGAUCUACACAGAAGGAGCAAGUCUCUGGAAGCAGAGCCUGUGAUCUACUGGGGGACGAGGAAGACUCUCUGGAGCCGGGGAGUGAAGGAAGCAGGAAAGGGCAGGGGAACGCUACGUGAGGCUGGGUCCCAGCUGGAGAAGGGCAACACCUGGAUCCCAAGGGUAGCUCAGGAGCAUGACCUGCUCCACAGGGUCUGCCCACCUUGAGGAGCAUGCCACUACCUGCAAGCUUCCCUCUGUGCACCAUUCCCAUUUCCCUUCUGCUUCAGCCACAUGGUGUUGGUAAAGGGCAUACUGUGAGGUGCCGGAAUAUAACCUCCAUGGAUACAGGUGAAGGGGGCUGAGUUGUGGCCUCCAAAAUUCAUCUGCUGAAGCCCUAACCCCCAGGCCCUCAGAAUGUACUAUUUUUGGAGAUAGAACCUUUAAAAGGUAAUUAAAUUACAAUGAGGUCAUUAGAGUGAGCCUUAGUCCAACCUGAGUGGUAUCUUUAUAAGAAAAGGAAAUCAGGACCUAGAAACACACAGGCUGAAUAUAAGGGGAGAAGGCAGCCGCCUGCAAGCCUGGAGAGAGGCCUCAUAGGAAGCUAAUCCCACUGACGCCUUGAUCUUAGACUUCCAGCCGCCAGAACCGUGAGAACAUUAAUUACUAUUGUUUGAGCCACCUCGUCUGUGGUACUUUGUUAGGGCAGCCUGAGCAAAUGAAUGCAGCAGAGAUCUUUAUUUUGCUUACUGUUUCAUUCCCAGAACUUAGAACAGUGUCUGGCACAUAAUAAACAUAGUUAUUGAAUAAAUAAAUAAAUAAAUGUUCUAUUACUAGAGU